CUACUUCAGUGACUUUUAAAUCUGUAAGACAUACAUUUCAUAUUGCAACCCCUGCCCACACACAGCUGAAAGAAAAGUGUCAUAAGGUAUUAUUCACCAUUAUUAAAAGAACAGCUAAGAUGUGCCUUUUCACAAUGCAGAGGAUUAACCACUAUGCGGCCAUAGCUAUGGUGUGCCCUUGCAAACACCAGACUUGCAGUGUGAAUUUACUAAGAACCAAAUUGUCUGUCAAAGUGCUCUCAGGGAGCUCGAGUCUUCCAUAGAAGAAGUCAAGGGGAAAAAAGUUCUGGAUGAAAGGGUCGUGCAGAUAUGGAAGGAGUCGAC